UACGAAGGGGGCUAGCGUUGCUCGGAAUUACUGGGCGUAAAGGGCGCGUAGGCGGACAGGUUAGUCAGAGGUGAAAGCCCAGGGCUCAACCCUGGAAUUGCCUUUGAUACUGACUGUCUUGAGUACGGGAGAGGUGUGUGGAACUCCGAGUGUAGAGGUGAAAUGCGUAGAUAUUCGGAAGAACACCAGUGGCGAAGGCGACACACUGGCCCGUUACUGACGCUGAGGCGCGAAAGCGUGGGGAGCAAACAGG
rnacentral:rRNA from 1 species